AUACGGAGGGGGUUAGCGUUGUUCGGAAUUACUGGGCGUAAAGCGCACGUAGGCGGACUGGAAAGUUGGGGGUGAAAUCCCGGGGCUCAGCCCCGGAACUGCCUCCAAAACUUCCAAUCUAGAGAUCGAGAGAGGUGAGUGGAAUUCCAAGUGUAGAGGUGAAAUUCGUAGAUAUUUGGAGGAACACCAGUGGCGAAGGCGGCUCACUGGCUCGAUACUGACGCUGAGGUGCGAAAGCGUGGGGAGCAAACAGGAUUAGAUACCCUAGUAGUCC
rnacentral:rRNA from 1 species